rnacentral:lncRNA from 1 species
GCCAAAGUGGGCUGUUGACUCCCUGUCCCCUACCCCCGUCUUUGCCUGCUCUGGCCCCUGGCCACUUGCAAGGUGGACGGGAGGUGCCCCAUGGCAGGGAGCUAGCAGCCCUCGGGGAGAUGGGGGCGGGGAACGCGUGCCCAACCACUCCACCCCUCCUUCCUAGGAUGUGUAACCUACCUUGUCUUUUUAUUUUUUAUUUUUAUUUUUUUUUCCCGAUAGAGUAGCUCUUUGUACAUAAAAAAUACUUGAAAAAUUAAUUGUAUGAUGUAUGAGAAGACAGAGUCCCCUAGUUUUGUAUCUCGUGUAUGACUGCCAUGAGUUCCACCAGAAAGCCGCUCUAUUUUGGUCUCUGUGACAUUUUAAAUGCGUGACAGAAGUGAGCAAAUACAGUGAGAAAGAAAUAUAUAUAUGAGAUAAUAUAGCUUGUAUUGAAAUCUUCUCUGCUGGUGGGUGAGAUUUUUUUUCCCCCAGCUCCCGUGUAUGUGUGUUUGGGGAUGCGUUUAGUGGUUGUGGGUUCAAAGGUGUCCUAGAAAACCCUCUUCUGUCCGAGUUGUAGGUAUAAGUGAUGGGGGGGUCACAUUGCCAGACUGAAAUUGGGGUCCAGUUCCCCAGAGUGUCUCCCCCUCUUCUGGCCAGUGGGACAUUGGUCACUAGGUCCACCCACCUCGACACCCAGCAGCGGGUUGGUGCCUUGUGCUGGCUUCAGUCAACCAGCUAAACAGGGUGCACCCUCCAGCAGCCCCAUUCCUGCAGGUGUCUCCCUGGGGUUUGAAGAAUUUCCUGUGAUCCUCAUGCCUCCUAGUCCAUCGUCAUGCCUCCUACUCCAUCGUCAUGCCUCCACCCUGGGACCUGGGGCAGGAGGCCUGGAGCACGGUCUGCCCAGCAGUGGGCAUGUGCCGGACACCUGGCACCUCCCUGCUGCCUCUGCAUGCCCUCUGUGGCCUGGCCCGGCUGACGGGGCGCUCAGGAAUGUGGCGCGGGCGGGGAAAUUCCCAGCCGCCACCCUCCACUCGGUCCCCGCAUGCCUUCCUGCUGUCCCUUCCAUGGGCUUGGGCUCUCUGUCUCGGCAUCAGGAUCCUGGACCCCAGCCUGAGAGGGCAGAAGGGCCUGGGCCUGUUUCCCAGCUUUCAGGUCCUCUCCAGAAGCAUCCUUCUAGCCCGGCCAUCCCUCCAUACCCAGCCUCAUGGAACUCCUCCUCCUGGCCAUCAGGUGCUCUGGGGUAAGCGUUCACUCUGCCUGUGGAAGCUUGCAGCCCCUGGCAUCCCCACGUACUACCUUACACUUCUUGAGUUGUACAGAUGGGUAAACAGGCUGCAAGCGGUGACAUAA